GUAGGUGGCAAGCGUUGUCCGGAAUUAUUGGGCGUAAAGCGCGCGCAGGCGGUCCUUUAAGUCUGAUGUGAAAGCCCACGGCUCAACCGUGGAGGGUCAUUGGAAACUGGGGGACUUGAGUACAGAAGAGGAAAGCGGAAUUCCAAGUGUAGCGGUGAAAUGCGUAGAGAUUUGGAGGAACACCAGUGGCGAAGGCGGCUUUCUGGUCUGUAACUGACGCUGAGGCGCGAAAGCGUGGGGAGCAAACAGGAUUAGAUACCCUGGUAGUCCACGCCGUAAACGAUGAGUGCUAAGUGUUAGGGGGUUUCCCGCCCCCCUUAGUGCUGCAGCUAACGCAUUAAGCACUCCGUCUGGGGAGUACGGCCGCAAGGCUG
rnacentral:rRNA from 1 species